CACCCCCUACUCUUUUGUGCAACAAACUGACAAGAGGAAAGAGGCAAGGGGAAGGUCACCCAAGCACAGCUAAAGGGAGGUGAUACCAAAUCCUGCUUCCCAGACCCAGGAAGGAAACUGAGAAUCACAGGUGCAUGAGGCGACGCAUCCAACUUGUGGCAAAACUGGCUGGAAUCGAGUCCAGGUGUUUUGAUUCUGCCUCCAAUUCUUUUCUACUUCAUCAGGCCAAGUCUGGCCAAGGGGGACACCCACUGGAGGUCACAGGGGGUUAUGAUGAGCCAGGAGGACAAAGGCACAAGCCAAGGUGGGCAGAGGCCAGGACCCAGGAGAACGGGAAUUCCCACUGGUCUUUCCUUUGCCAAAGAAGCACACAGAGUUCACUGAGCUGGCUGGUUCAGAAACCUCCUGCAUUUCAGGGUAAAGCUGCCUUUAGCCACCACGGAGCCUGCCUGUCGUCUCAGUUUCCUGCCAUCAACAAUUAAGUGGGCAUUGUUAAUUAAAUUAUCAUUGCACUUAA